rnacentral:rRNA from 1 species
AUGAUUCAGGGGCGCAAUUCCGACGACUGUCAAAUCUUUAUUCUUGUGGUCGUUGGGCCAGAUUGGUUGUCACACUCAUCAAUCUAUGGGAGCUCCUUUUGGUCAACCCUCUUGUCUGCUCAUUGUUGGAUCUAUAGCAGCCUCCCUGUCUUCGUCCAGGGACUUACAGCCGCCUGUCGACAGUGUGUGCCGCCCGCCACCACCAACAAGAUAUGGGAGAAAGAGUUGGAGGUAGAGGGAGAUGGGGUGGUAAGAAGAGAGGGUGAGGAAGGAGGAAGUGGAUAUCCCCCAGCACCCAUGGUGGGCGCCCAGAUCCCAUCUCCACGCCACCACGAGGUGAGCGGAUUAGUGAAAUUGUGUUCAGUCCAUACUACAUGUCCUCGGAGGGUAUUAAAGCACAACUUUGGCCCUGAAAUCAAUGUCUGGAUUGCAGGAGUUAUAUGCGUCACCAUUUUAGGAAGAAACUAA